rnacentral:lncRNA from 1 species
UUUGCGCAAAUAGUUAUUUUCUUGCUUCGUUAACCAUGUUAACCUAAUCUGUUAAAUUUGUGGUGCAAUCUUAUAGUAAAACCCCGGUGAUUUAGGUUGAUCAAUCAUCAUUCUUUAUGUUAAAGUCACAUUUUCAAAUGCCAUCAAUGUCUCACACGCAGUCUUUUUUUCUUUUCAAGCAAAGAUAGAACUGUAUCACAACUGGUAAAGGCAUGGAUCACAAUAAGUUUGUGUGAUCACUCAUUGCUUAGUGCAUUUGAAAGGUCAUUGAUAGAUAUUAAUUCAAAGUUUUUUGCUCUCCCAAACACAAUCCAUAGUUCGUCUACCCCUAUGUCACGG